GUCGAGUCGUGAUUAAAUAGAUUUAUGACGAUUAAUUGACGGAUAAGUGGAUAUUUAGCGCUUUGUUUGCUUUAUUAAUAUUUUUAUAUGAAACAGUACCGAUCUAGCAUUCAAAAAACAUCUCUAAAGUUAAGAUCCUUACGGUUACGAUUAUUCAAACUUUGGUUGCCAACAUUUUUAACCUUACAAUAGCGAUUGUUGUAUAAUUUAAAAGUAGCUUUAAAUUAUAUAAAGCUACACAGAAUAGGAGGAGGAAGAUAGUUGUUAAAUUUUCGGACCUGUGCCUGGUUUAACUUUUCGUAAACGUCAGGAAUCGAUGACUGAUAAAAAUCGAAUGAUAUACCGUACAAGAUUGUCAAAUAAAGUAUCCGUAAAUUUAGUAGGUAUCGAUUAGGUUGAAAAUUCCAAAACCGCAAGAAAAAUCUAGCUUCAUCUCUAUUCCUUUCUCUAAAAGUUUACAUGAAUAAUAUAUUUACAUAUGCUAAACAGGAAGAUUUUAUGAAACAAACGGGGAACCACAAAAAUAUGAAUUGUUCAGUUGGUACAGUACUAGGCACGUUUAGAUUCUUUAACGGAUCUCUUUUUAAUGUUUAUCAUUCCGUUUCUUCCUUAGUCUCUCUUUGCCUGGUUCAAUUCUUUCUGUGGGCAAUAUUUUUCCUCUAAUUGCAUUAAGAAGCAUUUUGUCUCUUCUAACGCUGCAAAGUUAAUUGGUUUACCCUACUGAUUAAGCAUGACUGUAAUUUUCAAAUUUUUGAGCAUUUUAUCGC
rnacentral:lncRNA from 1 species